rnacentral:lncRNA from 1 species
UAUUUUCAUCUUCAUCUAUUCUUUUAAUGGUUCCAUCAAUUUAGGUAAAUGUGCCCUCGAUAUUGGAAUCGAUCUUAGAUUCCAAGGUACAUGCAGUACAGUGAAGAUAACCAUAGGUGUUAUAAUAUUUAGAUCCACACAUCCAAUUUCAUGAGAUUCGAAGGCAAAUGAUCUACCUUGUUUAGCCAACAUCUUUUUGAAGCAAGUAAUUUCCUUCGACAAUAAAGAACCAUCAGAAUCAAUCUUCAAUUCUUCAAAGUCUCUUUAGUAAAUUGAUGUCUAAUAUUCAUUGGAUCUCUUAAACUUGCUUCUUUUGAUGCUUCUCCCAUUUGUUCUUUAGAAUCUUCUGGUAAUGGUCCUACAACAGGCUUUAUCUUCUUAUCUGGCGUUUUAAAUCUGGUCUCUAUAGUGACUUCUGGUGCUUGAAAAGAUUCAAGUAUGGUAUAAACCUCUCUUGAAUGGAUCUCAACAAUCUUAU